CCUACGGGAGGCAGCAGUAGGGAAUCUUCCGCAAUGGACGAAAGUCUGACGGAGCAACGCCGCGUGAGCGAUGAAGGCCUUCGGGUCGUAAAGCUCUGUUGUCAGGGAAGAACAAGUAUCGGAGUAACUGCCGGUACCUUGACGGUACCUGACCAGAAAGCCACGGCUAACUACGUGCCAGCAGCCGCGGUAAUACGUAGGUGGCAAGCGUUGUCCGGAAUUAUUGGGCGUAAAGCGCGCGCAGGCGGUUCCUUAAGUCUGAUGUGAAAGCCCCCGGCUCAACCGGGGAGGGUCAUUGGAAACUGGGGAACUUGAGUGCAGAAGAGGAGAGCGGAAUUCCACGUGUAGCGGUGAAAUGCGUAGAGAUGUGGAGGAACACCAGUGGCGAAGGCGGCUCUCUGGUCUGUAACUGACGCUGAGGCGCGAAAGCGUGGGGAGCGAACAGGAUUAGAUACCCUGGUAGUCCACGCCGUAAACGAUGAGUGCUAAGUGUUAGAGGGUUUCCGCCCUUUAGUGCUGCAGCAAACGCAUUAAGCACUCCGCCUAGGGAGUACGGCCGCAAGGCUGAAACUCAAAGGAAUUGACGG
rnacentral:rRNA from 1 species